GACGGAGGGUGCAAGCGUUGUUCGGAAUUACUGGGCGUAAAGGGCGCGUAGGCGGUCUGUUAAGUUCGGUGUGAAAGCCCCCGGCUCACCUGGGGAACUGCGCCGGAAACCGACAGACUCGAGUACCGGAGAGGAGAGUGGAAUUCCCGGUGUAGCGGUGAAAUGCGCAGAUAUCGGGAAGAACACCCGUGGCGAAGGCGGCUACUCGUGGGACGGUACUGGACGCUGAGACGGCGAAAAGCGUGGGGAGCGAACAGG
rnacentral:rRNA from 1 species